rnacentral:tRNA from 1 species
UUAAGCAUAGUUUAACUAAAACAUUAUAUUUUCACUAUAAAAAAAAUAAUUUUAUUUGUUUAUUUAAA